CUACGGGGUGCAGCAGUCGAGAAUCUUCCGCAAUGGGCGCAAGCCUGACGGAGCAAUGCCGCGUGAGGGAUGACGGCCCUAGGGUUGUAAACCUCUGUCAGAAGGGACGAAGAACGUGACGGUACCUUCAGAGGAAGCCAUGGCUAACUACGUGCUAGCAGCCGCGGUAAUACGUAGAUGGCGAGCGUUAUUCGGAUUUACUGGGCGUAAAGGGUCCGUAGGGGGUCUGCCAAGUCUGAUGUGAAAUCCUGCGGCUCAACCGCGGAACUGCGUUGGAAACUGGCGGACUAGAGUGUGCGAGGGGUGAGCGGAAUUCCUGGUGUAGCGGUGGAAUGCGUAGAUAUCAGGAAGAACACCGAUGGCGAAGGCGGCUCACUGGCGCAUCACUGACCCUGAGGGACGAAAGCGUGGGUAGCAAACAGGAUUAGAUACCCCCGUAGUC
rnacentral:rRNA from 1 species